rnacentral:rRNA from 1 species
AACGAACGUUAGCGGUGUGGAUUAGGCAUGCAAGUCGUGCGCGAAAGCCUUCGGGCGAGUAAAGCGGCGAAAGGGUGAGUAAUGCUUGGGAACUUGCCUUUGCGAGGGGGAUAACAGUUGGAAACGACUGCUAAUACCGCAUAAUGUCUUCGGACCAAACGGGGCUUAGGCUCCGGCGCAAAGAGAGGCCCAAGUGAGAUUAGCUAGUUGGUGAGGUAAAGGCUCACCAAGGCAACGAUCUCUAGCUGUUCUGAGAGGAAGAUCAGCCACACUGGGACUGAGACACGGCCCAG